rnacentral:rRNA from 1 species
AGCUCCAAUAGCGUAUAUUAAAGUUGUUGCGGUUAAAAAGCUCGUAGUUGGAUUUCUGUCGAGAACGGCCGGUCCACACUUUGUGUGAGUAUCUGGUUCGGUCUUGGCAUCCUCAUGGGGAACGUUUCUGCGCUUGAUUGCGUGGGGCGGAAUUCAUGACUUUUACUUUGAGGAAAUUAGAGUGUUCACGGCAGGCAAACGCCUUGAAUACAUUAGCAUGGAAUAAUAAUAUAGGACCUUGUUUCUAUUUUGUUGGUUUCUAGAAAUUAGGUAAUGAUUAAUAGGGAUAAUUGGGGGCAUUCGUAUUAACGCGUCAGAGGUGGAAUUCUUGGAUUGCGUUACGACGAACUACUGCGAAAGCAUUUGCCAAGGAUGUUUUCA